rnacentral:rRNA from 1 species
AACGAACGCUGGCGGCAGGCUUAACACAUGCAAGUCGAACGCCCCGCAAGGGGAGUGGCAGACGGGUGAGUAACGCGUGGGAACAUACCCUUAUCUUCGGAACAACUCCGGGAAACUGGAGCUAAUACCGAAUGUGCCCUUAGGGGGAAAGAUUUAUCGGAUAAGGAUUGGCCCGCGUUGGAUUAGCUAGUUGGUGGGGUAAAGGCCUACCAAGGCGACGAUCCAUAGCUGGUCUGAGAGGAUGAUCAGCCACAUUGGGACUGAGACACGGCCCAAACUCCUACGGGAGGCAGCAGUGGGGAAUAUUGGACAAUGGGCGCAAGCCUGAUCCAGCCAUGCCGCGUGAGUGAUGAAGGCCUUAGGGUUGUAAAGCUCUUUCACCGGAGAAGAUAAUGACGGUAUCCGGAGAAGAAGCCCCGGCUAACUUCGUGCCAGCCGCCGCGGUAAUAC